rnacentral:lncRNA from 1 species
CUGAAGACUACCGGUCCGAGAUCUCCAAACUAGUGUAGGCUUAGAGUGUAGGGAAGUCUAUAUUUAUCCCAAGCUUUCCAGGUGGCUUGGAUGCAGAGCUGGUUGGAGGAACACUGUGUGGUUGACAGUUUGGGGGAUGGCUUUCCUGUCUCCAUCCUACAGCAACGGAUCACCAGGGUGCAGAGCCAUAAAUCUUUUGCCAGCCAUGUGGCAGGCUACAAAGCAGAUCCCACAGUGGGACAUGGAAAUGCUGGCUGCUCCGAGGUUAGCUUGAACCGAGGAGAGGGACUCGGCUGGAAUACAGACAUGCCUCAGGCUGUGUCUCAGGCGCCGGGCUUCCAGCUCCGACAACAUAGACUGUCAACGCAGCUCUGCUGUGAGUGGAACUGGACACUCGGUGAUGGCCAAAAACAACAGUUGACUAAAAUAAUGAAGCAACAUGUGGAUGGUGAUGGAGGUGGAGAAAAAUAGAGCCGGAUGGGCCCUCUGGAAAUCAUCUUGAACCCUCUUCCUUUCUUUCACAGGUAAGGACACUGAGACCUGCAGCUCAUGUUGUGACUACAAUAACGAUGAGACAUCAUUCUUACCAUGAGUGCAUUUGCCUCCUCUGGGGUCACAGCAUUCUGAAUGUCCUCAGUGAUUCUUUUUGUGUCACAGUGACCCUCUGGACACAAGACUAGCCAAAUGGACACUUGGGGGUCCUGUUGUGGAGAGGGACUAUGUUGUCACAGUGGAAGGAGCACUGGAUAAUCCAUCUGGAGAUCUGGUCUGAGGCCUGGCUCGGAUUUAUGUACUGGGUGACAUUUAUCUCCUCAUCUGUUUUCCUCACUGCAAAAUGUGAGAUGUAGGUAGCUAAAGCAAUGUGUGUUAAAAGACUGAAAAUCAGGGUUCCUGGGUGGCUCAGUGGUUGAGUGUUUACCUUUGGCUCAGGUCGUGAUCCCAGGGUCCCAGGAUUGAGUCCCACAUCAGGCUCCCCUGGAGAACCUGCUUCUCCCUCUGCCUAUGUCUCUGCCUCUCUCUGUGUGUCUCUCAUGAAUAAAUAAAUAAAGUCUUUAAAAAAAGACUCUGAA